rnacentral:tRNA from 1 species
GGCUCGGUGGUGUAGUUGGUUAUCACGUCAGUCUAACAGGGCAAAGCCCCUUCACACACUGAAGGUCCCGAGUUCAAUCCUCGGCUGAGUCA